GACGAACGCUGGCGGCGUGCUUAACACAUGCAAGUCGAGCGGAAAGGCCCUUCGGGGUACUCGAGCGGCGAACGGGUGAGUAACACGUGAGUAACCUGCCCCAGACUUUGGGAUAACCCUCGGAAACGGGGGCUAUUACCGAUAAGGCACCGCUUCGCCAGGGGGCCGGGGGGAAAGGUUUUUCGGUUUGGGAUGGGCUCGCGGCCUAUCAGCUUGUUGGUGGGGUGAUGGCCUACCAAGGCGACGACGGGUAGCCGGCCUGAGAGGGCGACCGGCCACACUGGGACUGAGACACGGCCCAGACUCCUACGGGAGGCAGCAGUGGGGAAUAUUGCACAAUGGGCGGAAGCCUGAUGCAGCGACGCCGCGUGAGGGAUGACGGCCUUCGGGUUGUAAACCUCUUUCAGCAGGGACGAAGCGUAAGUGACGGUACCUGCAGAAGAAGCGCCGGCCAACUACGUG
rnacentral:rRNA from 1 species